rnacentral:SRP_RNA from 1 species
AGCCGGGGUGGUAGCGGUACCUUGAACCAACAAUCCGCUAUAGUUGGGGUGAUAUCUCGUAGAGGGUUUUCGUCGGUGGAGCUGCCCUCUGUAAGCGGCGUUGACGUCUGGGUCUUACGCAAUGGGAAUCUGUGAACCGGGUCAGGGUAGGAAUACAGCAGCCCUAAGCAGAACCUCUCAUGUGCCGUAGGGUCGCCUGGAGGGAGCUGGCUGCAGAGGUAACGUCUGUUGAUGGGAUUCGAAGC